rnacentral:misc_RNA from 1 species
UGCCCAAUGACUCUCCAAGUUGCUCAUUCUAGUGUUAUAUUGCUGCCUCACCUACAAAGUUCCAGUUUGGAUGCCAUUUGGGAAGUUAAAACCUUCAUUCCUAAAGGCUCAGUUCCAAAUUUUCAACUUUCUUAAGGACUAGAAGGUUCUCAGGGGAGGGACUAUUGUUACAUACAAGAGUUGGAUAGGAAGUGUUUUGGAGGGAAGUAUUGUUAGUUUUGGAGGAAGUAGUUUACAAUAGCAUAAUGGGUUAGUAGCAG